rnacentral:rRNA from 1 species
UACGCGAGCUGGGUUCAGAACGUCGUGAGACAGUUCGGUCCCUAUCCGUCGUGGGCGUAGGAAAUUUGAGAGGAGCUGUCCUUAGUACGAGAGGACCGGGAUGGACGUAUCAAUGGUGUACCAGUUGUCACGCCAGUGGCAUAGCUGGGUAGCUAAAUACGGAAGGGAUAAGAGCUGAAAGCAUCUAAGCAUGAAGCCCCCCUCGAGAUGAGAUUUCCCACGGAUAUUAAGAC